ensembl:lncRNA
AUUAACUCUAUUGUCCUGAGAUCUGAGCCUCCUGAUUGGCUGAAAAGCAGAAAGAGCGCAGGAUGAGCAGCAUAAAUACAGAGCCGAGAUGCAGAUGUCAACAGAAACGCCUCUGAUCCUUCGCAAGCAGCAGCAGAACUCACCACCACAAGAAGCAAACCUCGAAAUGGCACUCUACGCAGACCUCGCUUUUCAAGACAGCGUGAAGGAGCAGCUCUUUAGGUGUAAACUGCACAUGCUGGAGAAGAAAUGCAGUAUUGGAGUGGAGAAGCUGAAGGCUCUGAUUGGAGAACACCUGCAGAAUGGGAUCCCUGUUUCAGAUAUCAUGGAGAAAACAAAGUCCUUCCUCACCUUGAGAAAAGCCCUGCUGUCACACAAUGGCUACUCCAAAUAUUCAAGGGACAUUUUACGUCUGUUUCCUGACGCAGAGGAAGACUUGGCUCCUCUGUGCUUUUAAUGACGAGGAAUGAUGAGGAAUGGACUUGUAGGAAAUCACUGAAACUGCAGUUUAUUGACAUGGGAACUACAGAUUCUAGUGAUACUAGCUGCUUCUAUGUGUGCUGAAGAUCUGUCGAUUAUAGAAAAAUGCAUUAUUUGCAUUAUGAGAUCUACAGAACCCUCAUAUUGUGGUUUCAUUUUGGCUUCAACAGUCGCCAGAGGAAGAAAAUUGGAUUCAGAAGAAAAGGUGAAGAGGUCACUGACUAAGAAGAAGAGUCCGUCGCUACGUUGUUAAAAUAUGUUGUGCUGCUAUUUGUGGAAUUUAUGAUUCUCAUGGUUGUAGACCACAGAAGAUAAAUCCGGUCUCUUAACUAUGCAGGAAUUUCUUGUUGAUGAUUAAAUGUUUAGGAAAUGUUUUAACAUUUUUAUUGAUUAACUGCAGUAAAAUCUGCUUAGAAUGUUAAGCCCAACAGAGCACCUAUUCUCCUGUGAAAACACUGUAUGAGCUAAUAUUGUGCUGAAUACAGUUUGCAUACAGUGUCUUACCACCUUGUUUCAAGGUAUAAUGUAUUGUAUUCUUAAACACCAACCUUUCUUCUGAAAAGGGAUUUGUUAUUAUUUUGUGUAUGCCAUGUAUGCAUCUUAUGUUCCAUUGGCCAUUUUGAUUUUUAUUUAUCCAAAGUGGAUUGACAUUUGUUUCAGUGUUUUUUCAGAUUUCUAGAAAAUAAAUAUGUAAG